rnacentral:lncRNA from 1 species
GGGGGGGCCAACAGUGAACAGCAGGGGCUCCCUGAUAAUCAACCCUAAAACCUUGUCUGGAACAUGUUCAGCUUCUUCCUUGCCCACCCUCCUCCCACCCCGCCAGGUGCUGAGCUCACCCUUUGUGAUUCUUGGCCUUACAUUCUGCACCUCCCAGUGGCACUGGAACCUUGGAUGCCCCGGGGAGCUGCAGGGCCCCAGUGACCAGCUGGUGCUGAGGGUCAGAGACUGCGACUGUGCAGGCCAUGUCUGCAGGUGCUCCCCUGUGCAAGGCCUCCAGGGGUGGGGGUGUCCCUCAGACCUUCAGGGAAGUUGCUGAUAAAGAAUUUCCUUAGAGGGGGUAAGUCCCCCUCCCAGACCCAGCAAGGCCUUCUCUCUGUUUCCCCGGAAAAACCUCUUCCAUCCUUCCGAAGCUCCAGGCCUUGUGGGUGUGACAGCGUGCCUGGAUCCAGAGGCAGCAGGGGAAGGGGGAGACAUUUUGGUUCAAGGGGCCAUGGCAAAGGCACUGCCUGGCAGAUGGAGGAGGGAGCUUCCUGCUGCUGGAGUGGCCGUCCUGGCUGAAAGCCCUUCUCCUUCAGUGGUCAGCUAACUACUCCUCCAUGAAGCCAUCCCUGAUUCCUACUCCAGCCCCCAAGGAAGAGCUGCAGGAAACAGAAAAUGCACUGCCUAGAUGGACCCUCUGACUCCCCACCACCCAGGCUGGAGCGGCAGAGGCUGCCAGGAAGAGCCAGAAAACAGGUGAACCCAAGGCCACUCCCUCCCCAGCCUGAGGUCACUGACCAGCUAAUACAGGCCAAGGCUGCUGGGAGGCCAGGAAUAUGGCCAUGAGGAGCACAGCACGAUGUUCCCUCUAUCACGUGUGCAUAUUCUAGUGGAGGAAGACUGACAGUAAGUAGGUAAAUAUAUGUACAUCAGGUGGUGGCAAGGGCUAUGGAAAAAAUGAGCAAGAGAGGGGCAUAGAAAGUGGUAGGAUGGAAGGGAGAUAGGGUGGGCAGGGAGGGCCAGAUAGAAUGCAGUUUGAGCCACUUAGAUCUCUGAAGGAAGGAAGAACAUUCCAGGGAUAGGGACCAGGAGGACACAGGUGCCAGGACAGGAGCAUACUGGGCAUUUUCAAGGACAGGAUGGAACCCAAUGUGGCUGGUGUGGAGUGAGAGGUGGGGAAGGGAUAGGAGCGGGAAUGUGGAGGGAAGAUGGCCUGGGGUCCUGUGGGCAUUAGCCGGGCUCACAGGGGAGCUCUUGGAGGGUUAUGAGCGAGAAGUGAGCUGCUCCGUGCAUUCCAAGGAUCCCUCUAGGAGACCUGAGAUACCUCCUUGCCCUGUUCUGCAGCUGCGCUGGCUGCAAGGUACAGAUUUGGCCCUCAGCUAAAUUGCAAGGAAGACAGAGGAAGAGAGAGGAAGGUUCCAUUCUCCUGUUUCUUGCCCAUUUCUCCUCAUCAGUGGAACCCUGCCUGUGCAUGGUCUUCUUUAUUUGCACACAGCUCCCUGCCCUCCCCAAUACCUUACCAAUGAUUUACGCUUUAGUAAAAUCAAGGCUAUGCAUUCCAUGACCCCUUCUCCAAAGUGAUGAAUUAUGUCUCCAGAAAAGAUAUGUUGAAGUCCUAACCCCCAACUACUGCAGAAUAUGACCUUAUUUGGAAAUACGGUCAUUGUAGAUGAAUUAGUUAAGAUGAAAUCACGCUGGAGUAGGAUGGGCCCUUAAUCCCAUAUGAAUGAUGUCCUUUUAAGAAGAUAAUGUGGGCCGGGUGUGGUGGCUCAUGCCUGUAAUCCCAGCACUUUGGGAGGCGGGUGGAUCACCUGAGGUCAGGAGUUCAAGACCAGCCUGGCCAACAUGAUGAAACCCCAUUUCCACUAAAAAUACAAAAAUUAUCUGAGCGUGGUGAUGGGCACCUGUAAUCCCAGCUACUCAGGAGGCUGAGGCAAGAGAAUCACUUGAACCCAGGAGGCAGAGGUUGCAGUGAGCUGAGAUGGCGCCACUGCACUCCAGUCUGGGUGACAGAGUGAAAAUCCCUCUCAAAAAAAAAAAAAAAAAAAAAAGCUGAUGUGAGAUACAAGGGAGGAAGGCCAUGUGAAUAUGGAGGUGGAGGUGGGAUUAGGCAGCUGCAUGCCAAGAACAAGGCCAAGGAUUGCUGGAAACCACUGUGAGCUGGAAGAGGCAGGGAAGGACUCUUCCCCAGAGCCUCCCGAGGGAGCGUGGCCCUGCUGACUCCUGGAUUUCAGGCUUCUGGCCUCCAGAAUAAUGAGAAAAUGAAUUUCUGUUGCUUUAAGCCACCUGGUUUGUGGUACUUUGUUAUGGCAGCCUUGGAAACGAGUCCCAGGGAUGUUUCUUAGGGUCUGAUUUCUAAUCAUAAAAUUUGAGAUUUUAUCCCAUUCAAAGAAAUAUCCGAAGUCUUAUUAGCCUACUAGUCAGCCUUUACCUGAGGACAAAAGUGCUUUGUUUUGGGGGAAUCCUGGGGCUGUAUGGGAAUUCCAAAGGGCACAUUUGGCUCAAUGGCCUGGAUGUCUUACCUUUGGGAAGCAGGGAGCUGGGAGGAGCCUAGCUGGACCCCUGCCGCUCUGCUGGAUGGGUUUGGCUCAGGGUGUGGAUAUUGGUUAGGUGUGGAUACAAAGGCUUGGUCCUUGCUGUGGCAGAGAAGGUUGAUAAAGGGGCCUGGGGAAAAUUAAAUUAGAUGCUGAACUUUGCCUUUUAUUCAUUUGCCUGAAGAUUAAGCUGUCCACAGGUUAAUCUGCAGGUCCGUUCACAGGCCAGGGACACAAAAUGAUCAAGACAGAGUCCCCUUCAAACAAACACCACACAUGUAUGUUCACUGUGGCAUCAUUCACAAUAGCAGAAGGUGCAGACAACCCAAAUGUCCCUCAGUGGAUGAAUGGAGAAACAAAACAUGGCACACCCACACAAUGGAAUGCUCUUCAGCCAUAGAUGGAAUGAAGUACUGCCCCACGCUACAGCAUGGACCAACCUCGAAGACAUCAUGCUGCGUGAAAGAAGUCAGCCAGAAAAGGCCAUAUACUGUAUGAUUCCUUUCAUGUAAUAUACCCAGAAUAGGCAAAGCCACAGAGACAGAAGGCAGAGUGGUGAUUGUCAGGGCUUGGAGGAGGGAGAAAUGGGGAGUGGCUGCUUAAUGGGUAUGGGUUUCCUUUAGGGUGGUGAAAGUGUUCUGGAACUAGGUAGUGGUGAUGGUUGUCUAACACUGGGAAUGUGCUAAAUGUCACUGAAUUGUGCAAUUGAAAGUGGUAAAUUUUAUGUAAUUUUACUACAAUUUUAAAAAAACAACAGAGUGAGAGAAGACAAUCAACAGAGAAAUAGAUAUUUAACAUAUACACUAUGAAGACCAAGAAGAUGGGCUAAGGAGGCAGAGAGUGAUGACGAGGGUGCUGCUAUUAAUUAGAGCUCUGCAAACGGCCUCUCUCCUGUCCUCAAUUCCAGUGCUGCAGAGUCAUGAUUAAGCAGAUCUGUCACUAAGUGAGGAUUUUGUUGUGCUUUUUGAAUGCAGUGCCUAGGUAUGUUCAUUUAUUUUUCUUUCAAGUUUGUAUUGAACGACGUAUUAUAUCUCACAUGGUAUGUCUCCUGUGCCCCACUGCCUGGGGCUCCCUGUCCCUCUCCACUUGCUUUCUUUUUUCCCAUUGCACUUACUUAUCACUACCCAACACAUUGGACAUGCAUUUGGCAUGCUUGGUUUUAUGUGUCAAACUUGGCUAAGCUAUAAGAUCCAGUUAUUUUUUUUUAUUUUUUCAUUUUUAUUUUUGAGAUGGAGUCUCGCUUUGUGGCCCAGGCUAGUGUGCAGUGGCGCGAUAUCGGCUCACUGCAAGCUCUGCCUCCUGGGUUCACGCCAUUCUCCUGCCUCAGCCUCCUGAGUAGCUGGGACUACAGGCGCCCGCCACCAUGCUUGGCUAAUUUUUUUAUUUUUUAUUUUUUAGUAGAGACGGGGUUUCACUGUGUUAGCCAGGAUGGUCUCGAUCUCCUGACCUUGUGAUCUGCCCGCCUUUGCCUCCCAAAGUGCUGGAAUUACAGGUGGGAGCCACCGCGCCCAGGCAAGACCCAGUUAUUGAAGCAAACACUAACCUAGUGUUGCUGUGAAGGUAUUUUAUAGAUAUGGUAAACAAGAUCAGUUGUCUUUAAGUAAAGGAGAUUACCCUUGAUAUCUUGGUGGGCCUCAUCUAAUCAGUGGAGAGGUUUGAAGAGGAAAACCGACGUUUCCCUAUGCAAGAAGAAAUUCUGCCCCAAGACUGCAGCAUCAGUUCCUGCAUGAGUUUCCAGCCUGCUAGCCUGCUCCACAGAUCUCAGACUUGCCAGCCUCCACAACUGUAUGAGCCAAUUCCUGAAAUAAAUUCCUUUAUACAUAUAUGUAAUAUGUACACAUACACACAUCUAUGUCAUCUAGAUUUAGAGCUAAUCUAGCUCCUCCUGGCUCUGUUUGUCUGGAGAACCCCGACUGAUACUGAUGUGUUUAUUUGCUUAUCAUCCUCCCUACCCCAGACGGAGGCUCUCUAAGGGGAAGAUCUUUUGUCUGUUUCCUUCAUGCUGUGUCUGAAGUGACCAGGACAGCAGCCGGCAAUAGGACGUGCUCAGUCGAUAUUGUACAAUGGAUCUUCAUAAUUCUUGCUUAUUUGUGUGGUUGUUAUCUGUCUGAAAUUCAAGAAAGAAGGACAUGAGAAAAGAAAAGGAUGAAAGCACACUGGUCUUAUCUGAGGCUGGGGAUUUCCCCGUUGGGCCCAGUGUUGUGGAUUCUGCAGUUGAGUUGUGUCUGUUUGCAGCUGAAAGAAAGCUGUGGCAGUGAGGAGAACAAUGACUCUCUUGCUUCCAGAGCUGGUAGGUGACUGCGGUAUUACCAGGGGCGCACAAAGUGGGUGUUGCCCUUUGUUUCCCAAGUAAUUGUUUUAAAGCAAGGUGAGGAGGAGCCUGGGGAAGGGUAGAAUGAGAGAAAGCAUGAACCCUGAUUUGUGUUUGUUUGUUUAGGAACUAGAGGUUAGUGAAAAGCCUCUUGUUUCAGAAUGUGUCCCAAAUGGGUUUACAAUUAGUGACAGAGUCUGUAGGAGCUUAUGAAACAACCAAUUCCCCACACUGUUUGGCUCUCAGCAUCCACAGACCAUCUGGAUCAGCUGAGCAUGAAGUGUGGGGGCGUGCAUUGGGGGUGGGGUCCAGAAACAAAAAAGAUCAAGCUGGCAUCGGUUGGGGCGGGAGAGGGAUUUGGGUUUUCAGAUUUCCUUUCGCUUAAUUACAUUCGCAGGCUGUCCUGAUCCUCAUUCCCCUUCCCCAUUGUUUCUGCCCUGUCAGCGGGGUUGACUGGCUGAAAACAGACCACCCGGGCAGCCAGAAGAACUGUGCCUGUCCCGGCAGCCCUGACUCUGGACAGGUGGUGUGGGGUGGUGUGAGGUGGUUGGGGGACGGGAGAACAGGGAAGCAGGGCCAAGGACAGUAAUAUCCCUGGCCACUCUUCAUAUAUGUAGUCACCAAUGCUCAAAGUCCUCCAUGCCCCCACUUCCAUCCUGCAAAGGAGGAAGCUGAGCUGCCAAGGAGUGGCAGAGCUGAGAGCAGCACCAGCUCCGUCUCUCCCGAAGACCACCUUCUUUCUCCCAUGUCUGCCUGCAGGAUUUGAUGAUGAGACAUCGUCUGCUACAGGAUUUGCAGGGAAACAUGGAGUAUCACUUUGGGCCUAUUUUCUAAGAGAAUGGCCUGAAGAGAAUAGAUUCAAGUUUUCUCCCAGAAAAGCCUCUGCUUCAGGAGCAGGAACACUCUACUGGUAAGGGGAGAAAUGCCUCAAAUGAGCAUGUGCACAACUUCAGUAAACAUGCUGUGCAUGUGGCCCCUCCCAAGUGCCCGCAGGCCACCACACAAGUGGACAGCCCUGGACAGCCCGCCCCUAGGGAAGAAUCAAGGGAGGAGAAACAGAAGCCCUGGAACUGUGCUAGCAUAUAAAACCCCAAGUCAAGGGCUGAAUGGCACACUUGGAUCUCUCAAGUCACCUGCUUGGCCCCCUUCCAAGUGUAUUUACUUCCAUUUGUUCCUGCUCUAAAACUUUUUAAUAAACUUUCACUCCUGCUCUAAAACUUGCCUCGGUCUCUCCCUCUGCCUUAAAACUACUUCUGCCCCCGCAGCCGAAUUCUUUCCUCUGAGAGGGCAAGAAUCAAGUUGCUGCGCAC